UGUUCCUUUGUUUUCUCCCCCUUUCAAAACCGCCGCCGCCACCAUCACAGAUGAUGGAGUCAGAUGUCCAUGAUCAUCAUCAACAACAAGAUAUUAGUAUGAUGAUAUCUCCUCUCAGGCAUGAGUCGUUUUCAGAUGCUCUCUGCAUUCAAUUUUUCUUGAUCUCUUCUUCUCCUGUCUUUGAAUUCCGACUCUCCUUUUGUGUAUCCUCUUUAAUUUUACGUUUCUCUCUAUCAUCGUUCUGUCUGCGUCUUUCUUUGGUAAUUUCCGUUCUUUUAAAGUGAUCUAGUGACUCGUUUCUCCCGAUUCAAUUGAUUCGUUGACUCGUUUUUAGUGGUUCAGCCGUAACUUUGCCCUCAGUUCUCUGUUCAUGGUUUCUACCUUCUAUGGCGGCACCAGUUGCAGGGUGUUUGGUAUCCAAAUGUAUUAUUCCGACUUCAUCUCAAAAACAAAGGAAGGAUCAUAGUGAGGUUAUCAAGAGUAGCCGAGUAGAGAGAAGGGCACAGGAGCUUUAAGUUCUCCAUUUGAUGGAGACAGCACAGCAAUCUGGUUGACUAUUUUGGCUAUCGAGCUACUCCCCCAGCUGAGAAUGGACAUUCCCCCGCCUAGAGCGGUGAAGUAAUCCUUAACAAGACGCUUCUAACUUUCCCUCAUGGUGGCCUAUACGAUAUCAUGGGAUGUAAACUUUAUGGUGUAUCUAUUCAAUGAAAUUGCAGUCCCAAGCACUGCAGAUGGGAUUACUCAUGAAGUCCUGCUUUAGAGUGGAAAAAAAAGUCCUGCUUUAGAGUGAAAGAGCGAGAAAUUACUCAUGCUUCUGGAAGUGGUUCUUCUCAACCACUGGUUGUAACUUCUCCACUGAAAACUUCGCCCGGCACAUCCAAUUUCAAACAGAACCAGCAACAUGAGGCAAGUAGGAAAAUAAUUAGAACCAUGCUGUCAUCUUCCUCUCACUGUUGCUGCCUGACUCUGUGCAAGGGAUAACAAUCACUCAACAUGUACCUGUUCAUGGAAUUACCAAUCCUGGGGAUGAUGCAGUGGACAUUGGGUUCAGUAACAAGCUUAGUAGCAAACCUCGAAGCGCGGAGGCAGCAGUUAACAAUUUUUGGGGUGUUAAUUCAUCAUCUGCCAAUGCUGAAAUUAUUUGCGAACCAGACUUUUAUUGGUGAAAUUUUUUUUAUUAGUGAAUUUAAGAAGAGAGCCCAGUUUCUGGAUCAGGGUGUUAAUUCAUCAUCUACAUAGCCAAUGCUGAAGUUAACCAGACUUUUAUCGGUGAAA